rnacentral:lncRNA from 1 species
ACCUGGUCUGCCUUACUAAAUAAGUGUAGAAAAAUCUAUAAACUUUUCUUUUUAACUAUAGAAUGUGAUUGCUUUCGAGCCACCCACAAUAGAAAAUCACAUAGGUCAUAGCACCUACCCCAUAGGCUCUCACAUUUUGGUAGGGAAGACACAAGUAAAUCAGCAAUGACAGAGUGAGAUCAGGGAUUCAAUGGAGGUAGGUAGAGUGCUUUGAAAGUAAAACCGUGGACAUCUACAUUCAAUUCUGGGUGGCGGUCUCAGAAAGUUUUCCCAGAAGAGGUGAAACCUCGAUAGUGAAGAGUAGGAGUCUUAAAAGGAGGAAAAAAGGACAAUCCAGGUAACGGGAAGAGCAUAAACAAAGGGCAAGGAGGCAGGCGACGCAGCCUGAAGUUGUGAUAGAGGAGUAGAUCCUAAUGUGCCUUUUAAGCCAACUGAUUUUUUUCUUCAAAAAAAAAAAAAAAGUAGUCGCUUAAUCAAGUCCCAGCUCAAGGAGAAGGACCCCAAGGGCAACCCUGGGCACACAGAGUUAAACAAAGAGAAGGCCUGAGGAACAGGAUACAGAAAGUGGCAGCGCCGCCAGGUGAUCCAGGAGGUCCCGCGAGGGGGCAACGGACACUUCAGGGCACCAGAGUUUGCUCUUCGGCCUGAAUUCCCUAGGGACCUUCUGCGAUCCCUUGCGGCUGCCGGCGGGGUAGGAGACCGGUGCGCAAAGCUCUGGACAGAAGCAGUGUGAGGACGCUGAGAUUGAAGCCCACUCCCCUCCAGCCCUGCCCGAGCAGCCUGGAGGGAAGAUGUCCGUCUACCCCAUCGCACUCCUCCCCAAGUGCCCACCCCGGCCCACAGCGCCAGGACCCCUAGACUCACCACACCCGGGCCCCGGCCUCCUCGGUUACCAUAGCAACGGCGCAACACGCGAGGCAGCGCCUCCUCCUGCGCCGCGGUUCCGGCAGCGCGGGAAGGUUAUUCUUGGUUGCAAAGGCGCAGGAAGCCAGAGUGGAAAACAGCCAGGAAUUAUCUAUAAUUUCAGUCUCUGGGUGGCGUGUCGGUUUUUUCUUUGUUUUGUAAAUUUUCUGUAAUAAGAUGUCUGUAGCAUGCGGCUUGUCACAUCUGCAAGGGAGCUGCCUGGAUUUGCCGGGGCCUGUUUUCUGAAAAAUGGACCACUUAAAAAGUACUUCUUACAGGUGAGUGGGCUCAAGGAUACACAUUAAGAGUCAAAAUGGUGGAGUUUAACUGGUAUAUGACCUUCUUGGGUACAU